AACGAACGCUGGCGGCGUGGAUUAGGCAUGCAAGUCGAGCGAGAAAGGGGUAGCAAUAUCCUGAGUAAAGCGGCGAACUGGUGAGUAACAGGUGGGCGAUGUUCCCUGAAGUUGGGGAUAACUCCGAGAAAUCGGAGCUAAUACCGAAUGUGGCCCUCGGGAUUUCGGUCCGGAGGGUUAAAGACGUAAUUCGCUUUAGGAUCGGCCCG
rnacentral:rRNA from 1 species